rnacentral:lncRNA from 1 species
AUUCUCUACUACAGAAGUGAGGAGUAGCAAUAUGGAAUGUGUCUUCUUCUAUUUCACACUCUCGGCUUCAAUCUGGUUCUACUGGGACUCCGAUGAUACAAAUGUUAGAUCUGUGUUAUUGUCUCACAGAUCUCUGAGGUAACGAUGAUAUCUUUUGUAGUCUCUUCCCUUC